AUUGAACGCUGGCGGCAUGCCUUACACAUGCAAGUCGAACGGCAGCACGGGGCAACCUGGUGGCGAGUGGCGAACGGGUGAGUAAUGCAUCGGAACGUACCUUUCAGUGGGGGAUAACGUAGCGAAAGUUACGCUAAUACCGCAUAUUCUGUGAGCAGGAAAGCAGGGGAUCGCAAGACCUUGCGCUGAUUGAGCGGCCGAUGUCAGAUUAGCUAGUUGGUGAGGUAAAGGCUCACCAAGGCGACGAUCUGUAGCGGGUCUGAGAGGAUGAUCCUCCACACUGGAACGGAGACACGGUCCAGACUCCUACGGGAGGCAGCAGUGGGGAAUUUUGGACAAGGGGGGCAACCCUGAUCCAGACAUGCCGCGUGAGUGAAGAGGGCCUUCGGGUUGUAAAGCUCUUUCGGCCGGGAAGAAAUCGCACGGGCUAAUACCCUGUGUGGAUGACGGUACCGGAAUAAGAAGCACCGGCUAACUACGUGCCAGCCGCCGCAGUAA
rnacentral:rRNA from 1 species